GCGUGUCCGUGAGUCUCUGUGCGUGUCUGUGCAGCCAUGUGCAUCUGUGAGUCCGUGUGUGUGUCCGUGAGUCUGUGUGUGUGUCUGUGAGUCCGUGCGCGUCCAAGUGUCCAUGCACGUCUGAGGGUCCGUGUCUGUGAGUCUGCCCGUGCGUCUGUGAGUCCCUGUGUGUCUGUGAGUCCGUCUGUGUGUGUGCGUCCGCGCGUGCGUCCGUGAGUCCGUGAGUCCGUGCGCGUCCGUGAGUCCGUGCGCGUCUGUGAGUCAGGACGAAGCCAGACGGACGGGCGGAGCAAGGGCUUCCCCGGCACUGUGCGCGGCUCUUCCCGCAGGCGGGACGCGCGGGGCUGCGGGUGGGCGUCGCGCUGUCCGCGCGGUCCCCUCUGCUGUUUUCCGAGGCGGCAUCGGCUUGUCGCCGGCUCCGAACCGCGGUUUCCCGGCGCUUGCUAGGGACCCGCGGGGGCCGCGAGCCGCCACACUGCGUGUGCUGUGGAAACCGCGGCUGUGACCGUGCCCCUGCCCGACCCCGCCGCGCCGACAUCCGCGCUCCGGACGGCGCCGAGCGCCGAGCACCGAAAGCCUCAGGCGUUCUGGGCAGCUGGACGCGCCUGUCCUCGCCCCUUCCCUUGGGAGAAGCCCGAGUGCGACCUGGGCCCGCGGGAAGGCCCGGGUCACCGGCCCCGCUCGGCCCCUCCCAGCGCUCCUCCUUGGCCAUCUCUUGGCUUUUCCACGCAACAAACGAGUCCCCUGGGCUCAAGAAACCAUUUCACAGACGUGAGGAAGGCGCCGAGGUGCUUCCAAAAUGGGCGAUGCCGCGGCAGGACCGUGUUAGCGACAAGAUGAAAGAUGUGAUUUGGUUUUGGAAUAGUCACCAUCUCGGCGAGCUCAGCGUGAACUAGAAUAUUAGAAAGAAUGGAUGAAGACCAAGGGAAAACUUAUUUCGUUGCUACUUUCCUUAGAACUGUGAGAGAGAAAGUUCCCUUCUGGAGCACUCGGAAAUGAGUCCUUUUGUGUCACUUCGGUCCGCAGGCACGGAAGUGGGUCCAGUAGACGAUUACUACACCGUUGGAGUGACGGAAGGUGGGGACAGUGGGCAGAGGUAGGAGUUGAAUUAUAGAUAAUUAUCUUUGGGAAACGCAAGUUUGAAUAUUCAACUGUGUAAGAGUGAACAAUGACAGAGCUUCAAGCUUGAGGGAAGUGGAGACUCAGGGAGGGCAGAGAGCUGGUCAUGGAAAAGAAGUCGUGUUUCCAUCUGCUCUAUUUAUUGAACAACUACUAUGGGCCAGGCAGGGCCAGUUUGGGCUUCCGCAACGGGGUCCCAUCUUUCCUGCGUACUUUUUGUAGUGUGACAUCUUCGAUGAAUAGCCACCACGGUAAAUUCAUAAAUGAAGACACAGGGGUUUGGGCAUAUUUUCCCAGUCCUGCUAAGGGAGCCUAUGGUGGGGAAUGGAAAUACCGGAAGACGUUGAGUACAGUCUAGUUCUGCCAGUGACCCCAAAACGUCACACAAAUCGCAUCAUCUCUCGGGGCCCUGACUUUUCUUACUUGUAAAGCAAAGGGCUUGGAGGAUAGGGAUACACAAUUCCCAAACUUUGGUUUUUGCAAGGAAUCUAGGAGUCCACAUGAACCAAGCCUGUUUGUUGAUCGUACUAAUAGGACUUGCAGACAUAUGUAAUUCUGUUUCGCAAAUGUGUUGAGAGGUGCUAUGAUGAAGAAAAUGCAUAUUUACUUAAGUCACGCACUUAGAAAAGUUAUUGUAUUUAUCAAGUCAGAAGAUGCUAAAAGCCUGUCCCCCACAUGCCAGCGGUCAUGAAUAAAUUCAGAAGCAGUCUUCAUAUUAGAAAAUGCUGGGAACCCUAGAUGACAGAGGUAAUUUCUUAAUAUUAUUCUACUGAUAUUCUUGUAAUACAAUUGUGUAAAGGAAAAAUUUGGUUUUUAGGUGAGAGCUGAAAGUGUUUUUCCUGCACUGACACUUGUCAUCCUCAGCACCCACGUUCGCAGUCAGGACGACAGCCUUUCAGACACACUCCAGGUGCCUUCGUGCAGGCCAGUGUCGUUUCUGUCAUGCUAAUGGGCAGUUUUGUCUAAUGACACACACUGGACGAGACUUGUUGAAGGGAAGUCUAAGACAGAACAAAAGGGACCAUUCCGGGAUCUGACUUUGGUUUAUAAAGCAUUUCAUAGUUGAAUACUGAGUAUAUUGAAAGGAUCGAGUGGUGAUGUGGUGACGGAAAAAUAGGUGACCUGAUGACAUCACAGUAGGACUUGGUGGCAAAAUCAGAAACUCAAACCUCUCCCCUUGACAUACAGCAGUUCCUACUACUAGAAUGUACUGUGUCUCAGCAGGACGUCAUUAAAGAAAUGCUGCAGGGAUUGCCUCCAUGGUGAAACACUGGAGGACAGAUCCGAGUCCGAAUGGUACAAGGAAGUAAAGACAGCUGUUGCCAGACAAUCCAAGACCAUCACAGACUAAAGUCCAACUAUUGCCAUUUUCUGGGUCACUAUCCUAAUUCAUGCCCUCUCUGUCUGUAACAGGACCCAGACAUAAGAACUUUUUGCCCUGUUCAUACUCAAAACUACAUUGAAGUGAAGAUGUGUUCCAACAGAAACAAAUACCAAAAUACCUAAGAAUAUCUUUCUUUUCAUUUGUGUUUAGUCACUCAAAAUCUACAAAAUCAGGCUUAAAGUACAAAUAAGUUCUUGCCUUUCCUAUGCAGAUGGUGUGUUUGAGAGCAUUAAGCUGGUAAAGCCCUUUUUGAACUUGAUUUUAAAAAAUAGGUUGGUCAUCUGAAUAGAAGCUGAUUCUCCCGCAUCAGAAAGCAUUAGGUCGUUUCAUUUGAAUAAAAUGGUGCUGAGUUGAAUCUAAGAGAUACAGUCUUACAGUCUGUGAGCUUCUAGUUUAAAAGCUUUUCAAACUUUGGAAAUUCGUUUUUGGUUCAUUCUUGGGUGCAAAACCAAGGAGAGUAAGGGUUACUCUGCUUAAAUGGGACAGUGCCCGUUCGAAGUUGGGACUUACGGAUGCCUUCGCUGUGAUGAGCACGGGUGUUGUACAGAAGCAACCAAUGCCGGUGUAAUUCACCUGGAGCUAAUACGACACUGUCUGUUACCUACCUACAAUUUAAAUACAAACUUAAAAAAAGAGAAUAUAUACUUGGGAAAGACAGUAUCUUUAAAAUGCAACAUUCAUACUCAAUAAAUAUGCUGUAUAUGUAGAUUUAAUAAA